rnacentral:lncRNA from 1 species
AAGUGAAUAUUUAAACUAUUUAAAGAAAAAAUAUCCAUAGUUUGGAAUGACGAGUGUUAGUGAGCAUUUGACAAGAUUAGAUCUACUUUCACAAUCCUAGCACUCUAAAAAAAUAUAAUCCAAGGAAACAUACUCUCCUCCAUCUCCAAAUUUAUGCCACCUCACAAAUCUCCUUCAAAUCAAAUUACUCAUAUGAUCCACUCAAGUCCCCUCGCUUAAUCCUUAGAUUUAGGUCAAAAUCACUCCUACUAAAUCCUACUUCUGA